UACGUAGGGCGCAAGCGUUGUCCGGAAUUAUUGGGCGUAAAGAGCUCGUAGGCGGUUUGUCGCGUCUGCUGUGAAAACGCGAGGCUCAACCUCGCGCCUGCAGUGGGUACGGGCAGACUAGAGUGCGGUAGGGGAGAUUGGAAUCCUGGUGUAGCGGCGGAAUGCGCAGAUAUCAGGAGGAACACCGAUGGCGAAGGCAGAUCUCUGGGCCGUAACUGACGCUGAGGAGCGAAAGCGUGGGGAGCGAACAGG
rnacentral:rRNA from 1 species